ensembl:misc_RNA Metazoa_SRP Metazoan signal recognition particle RNA
GCCAGGCACAUUGGCACGUACCUGUAGUCCCGGCUACUCAGGAGGCUGAGGCAGGAGGAUUGCUUGAGCCCAGGAGUUUAAGGCUGCAGUGUGCUUUGAUCAUUUCUGUGAAUAGCCACUGUACUCUAGCCUGAGCAACAUAGCAGGAUCCCAUCUCUA